UUUAAAGCAAGGAUAUGCUAUUGCAAAACUCAAAACCUAAAGAUGGAACUAGUAAAGUGGAAGUUGUAGAUUUACCAGUGUUCGGAUUGGAAAAGUUGGCAAUCGCGACAGACAAUUUUCAGGAAAUUAACAAGCUUGAGCAAGGUGGUUUUGGCACAUUAUACAAGGGAAAAUUAGAAGAUGGACUGCAUGGACAGAGAAAAUAGGUUACCAAAACUGAGACCAGCUCAACAUAUAGCUUCCUAAGGCAAGAAGGAUGUUACUAUUCAAACUUCACAGGCUGG